AAACCACCGAACGUCACGGCUUGCAGGAGAUUUGUUCCGGGAAAAAUAACACUUCACAGUGGUUGAAGGCCGCGAGUGAGUCUCAGAUUUGACUAAAAGGCUUUAAGGAGGAGCUUUCGGGACUUAUCAACAAUAUCAAGUAAAACACAAGCAUCUUGCCAUGGAGAAUGUGCAGUCUGUCAGUCCAGAGCCAACCAGCAGAGGGAUCUUUUUACUUCGGCUGUUGAAUCUGAAAUCACUGCCGCUGGCUUGCCUUUACUUGGUGCUGAUCUUCUUCUCUUCAUCUUGGCAAAAGUACACAAAACCCCUGGAACUGCGGAAGCCAACAAGAAAUGUAUCUUAAAUCUGGAUCUUCCACACUAAAUGAUGUGGUCGCUGUCAGGAUGGUCGAGUGCCAGUGUGCGACGGUUUUGUCAGUUGUGGUUUUGUUUUGAGGUAUCACGUAGUGAGGUGAAAACGUUCUGUAUAUUGUGUGUCUGAGAUAAUUUCACUGGAAAGAAAAGCACGGAAGGGUGACUGCUUUAAAGCAGUGUGUCUCCCAGUGGCCGUGUAUAAAAUUACCAUCCAACGUACUCCAGACCAGAAUGGUUGCUACUGAAGAAGUUGCGCUGCACUAUGGGAUAAUACUAAAUGUGUUACGAUUGUCCUCUAAGCCCAUAUCAAGAAAAACAAAAAUUAUUUUCUGUUCAGGAAUUUCAUUUAAUGUUGCUCGGAAGUGAUGUUGGAGUGAGGGAUAACCAUAAUGCCCAAUGCAGGCACUAUACUUCCUUGACAUUUAUGUAGACUUGAAUGUGAUGAAUAGCAACCUGGGCGAGUUACCAAAGGAGCACUGGUGCUUGUGAACCGUUCCAGCAGAAGACUGCAAACUCAGCAGCAAUAAAACAACACCACCAACAAAAAUCCUGGUUAAAAUCACAGUGCAAUAAAUUCUGAUAUAAGAUGUUUAGAGGUGGACUUCUCUGGGAAUUGCUGCCCAUGUAAGCUUGUAAAAUAUUCCUUAAUACAUUUUGAGUGCAUGUUCAGAUGAAAGUAAAUAAUUUUUAACCCAGAAUUAUGCUAAUUAUAACCUGAACCAUUAUAAAAAAUACUGCAUAUAGCUGUCAAAGAAUGGAAUAUGAUAUUUGAUCCCAUGCAUUUGAUUUGUAGGGCAGGUAAAUUCAGCUAGAUAUAAUAUUUAUUGAUGGGUAUACAAUAUUUAACAGUGCUGCUUUUUUACAUUAGAGCAUUAAACAAUCGGAUUAUGACAGUGAUAGUAAUGAUGGGCCGAGAGCUGACCAACUGGAGGGCUAGGUUUGUUAUCAAGAAUUAAAUCAUUAGUUUGGAUUUUAAUAUUAUAAAACUUCUGGGUUUUUUUUAUAUGGACGUAACAGAGGGCAACUUUGAAUUGGAAAAAGGAAAAAAAAAUAAUGUUUGAUGUUGAUUUGUUAUACUUCCUAUCAGUUAAGACUUUAAUGUCUCUUUUACCUUUUUAACUAACUGUGAGGGACCCAGGUGCAUUGUAAUAAAAAAAAACAGGGAAAUGCAUGGUUCACAAAAUAAACUUUUGGCUUCAUUGCACUCCCUGGUAAUUCAUUUGACUCACUGUGUCUUUUUCUCUUUCACCCUUUUUUCUCUUUUUCCUUUUAUAUUUAUAUGGUUUUAGAUGCUGAGUAAAUAAAGCAGUAAAUCUGGUGUCAUUUCCUAGGUACAGACAGUACAUGUUUAUGAAUGGCUGGCAGACACUCGUAAACCACACAGAGUGUUACACAGUCCGAUAGAGAGAUAUAAACAUUUGACAUUGACCAUCUUGUCUAAAUCUGUUUGAUAAAUUCAUCCUUCUCCAAAAAUCUUUUUCCUGGGGCUAUUGAUUUCAGAAGGGUACCAGAAUAUGAUACAUUUACUGAGUUAGUAUUGGGCGCACUGUUACAUAGUUAUAUUGCUAACAGCUCCCUUGCUCCCCAUACACUUAAAAAAUAGUUUAAUUUUAGACUUUAGUAAUGUUGUGGCAAUGUGUUUCUUUUGUUCCCUUUCUAAACAACAGUCACAUUUGAUUUAUUUCUAAUGCACUGUUUAGAAUAAUACCAUCCAUUUUAUAAGUCUGAACUGCUGCUUGCAUUGUAUUUUUUUCACUGUAAUAAAUGUUGUUUGAGAAAAUUAUAAUGUUAAAUAUUACAUGUGUAAAAUAAGUGGA